rnacentral:lncRNA from 1 species
UGGAACACUGGAUGGUAAAACCCCCAAAGGAAAGAGUAGGUGUGGGUUACUUAGAGAGAUGUUCCUGCCUGGUCCACGUGAGACUGGUUUCCAUCCUGGGUGGUUACACAUCAGGGGAUUCCUCAUGUCCUGACCUCAGAAGAUGUCACAAGGAGUCAACUUCAAUGCUGGCCCCAGUGGGUGUUCAGUACCAGCACACUGAGCUGUCCAUCAACUGCUCCCCUGUCCUGACCUCCCUCUACUUGCUAAAGUGGUCCUUUCUUCAAUUCCA